rnacentral:rRNA from 1 species
UGCCAGCCGCCGCGGUAAUACGGAGGGGGUUAGCGUUGUCCGGAUUUAUUGGGCGUAAAGAGCUCGUAGGCGGCUCAACAAGUCGGCCGUGAAAACCUGAGGCUCAACCUCAGGACGCCGGUCGAAACUGUUGUGGCUAGGGUUCGGUAGAGGAGAGUGGAAUUCCCGGUGUAGCGGUGAAAUGCGCAGAUAUCUGGAGGAACAUCAGUGGCGAAGGCGGCUCCCUGGCCAAAGACUGACGCUCAUGUGCGAAAGUGUGGGUAGCGAACAGGAUUAGAUA